CUGCAGAGGUCACGCCCGUCCAUUUUGCCUCUUCCCCUUUCUCUCUCUCUCUCCUCUCUCACUCGCAUUCUCGCAAUCCUUCUUCGUCGCCCUCAGAUCCGGCGACUUCGCGUGGUUGGAAGCAUAGAUCAGAGGUCAAGAGGCGAGGGGGCACGCGCGGAGUUACCAGCAUGGAGUCCACGAGCGCGGGUGGCGGCUGCUCGCGUUGCUCGUCCUUCAUGGCGAAUCGUGGCAGCAGUGGCUUCCGUUGAGGACUGCACGGAAAGGCUGGUGCGGCGAGGGCGCGCCGGAGCCGGACUGCCGGAGAUGCGGACGCCUAAGGAGACCAAUCGAGACGGGUGGCGCAUCCCACGGAUGAUACGGCAGCGGUCAUAUGUGUGAGUCGGGAUGGGGAACAUGCCUCCUUGAUGUGGCGGCCGGCGGCUAGGUCUGGAUGUUAGGUAUUGGAGCGGAGCCAUAACCUGAUGCAGCCUAUGCAUCCCAAGCCUCUUCUUCAAUUUCCCCACGAUCCGUUGCCAGGAUUAGUUAGUGGUGGUGGAAAAACGAAUGCACUGGAGACAGAGAAGCCAAACUUCAACUUCUCAGCCUACUCCUUGGCGCUCAAGUCAUCCAUGGUGAUCUCCCAGGAAGCUCUCAACUACCUGGCCAGUGGCCAUGGCCUCCGACAUGAGCAAGACCUUUGGGUGGUCCUACGGGCUGGUACUGUUCUACAUGCCCCUGCACACUGUGCUGCUGGUCUCCGCCAUUUUGGGCAUCGCUAUCUACACCGUGCAUCGUGUUCCUCAACCCAGCAGGGCCCCUGGCCAUCCCCUACCCUCUGGUUCCUAAGUUAUCUAGCAUGGGGGAGAUCAAGUGCAAAACAUGAAGCAGAUGCCAUGUGCAGGAUGAGCCAGAUCAAGUAAAUAAGUACAUAUGUGUACCGCAAAAGGGUGUUUAGAACUUGAUGUGCCUUUCUUUUCUGCCUGCAAGUUUCCUCAGCGGAUCAGCACUAUAACAUGCUCUACAUAUCUUGGUGUUUGGUGGCCUGAAAGUUCAUCAGACCGUCAUUGGCAGCACUUUAUAGUUGCAGCUCAACCUCGAUUCUAUUCAUGUGUAGCUUGGUAGUAGUUGUAAUAGCUCCAAUCUUUUGUGUGGGUCAGUACAACAGUUGAGGCAAUCUUGACUUGGUUGUAGUUUUGAAACUUUGUGAAUGUUUGGAAUUUAGAUGGGGUGAAACUUUGUCAAUAUUCUAAUUUGCUUUCA